UACGUAGGGUGCAAGCGUUAAUCGGAAUUACUGGGCGUAAAGCGUGCGCAGGCGGCCAUGCAAGACAGAUGUGAAAUCCCCGGGCUUAACCUGGGAACUGCAUUUGUGACUGCAUGGCUGGAGUACGGUAGAGGGGGAUGGAAUUCCGCGUGUAGCAGUGAAAUGCGUAGAUAUGCGGAGGAACACCGAUGGCGAAGGCAAUCCCCUGGGCCUGUACUGACGCUCAUGCACGAAAGCGUGGGGAGCAAACAGG
rnacentral:rRNA from 1 species